CUCAUUUGUGCAUGUGCUUUUGUAUCAGUGUUGAGCUGCUUCUAAUUACACUGGAGGCUGUAUUAAUUUGAACACUUACUUAUGUAGUCAACUAUUUAAAUGUUCAUGUCCUAUUUUUCCAACUAGAAUUAAAAAGCAGCUUGAAACUUACGUUGUCUGAUAUGGAUCUGACAAUAAAUAAAAAUCAGAUAGACAUGUUCAUGAUAUUAAUUAAGUCACCUGUUUCUGAUGCAGCUGACAAUGCAAUAUUACAGACCAGAAUGAUUUUUACAAGUGUAGAAGAAAAACUAAAGGUUCCUUCUAACUUCUGACACAGAGCUGAAAUAUCAUUUGAGGGUGGGGGAGGACAACCCUAAAGAUAGAGAAGAAACUCGAUUUUGUCCCUGGGUAGGUAGGGUACUUACUGGGUAAUUACAACAUCAGUAUUUGCCUAAAUAGUUUCCCUUAUUACCUAGUUAUUUGCAAAUCUGAGAAGUUUCUGUCUGUGCCUCCAAUCUGCUUUCUGUGUUUCAGAAACUCCAUGCUGUUCUUCAGAAAUCUUCUCUAAUUUAUUUUAUUUAAUUGUUUGGUCAAAACUGUAUUGUUAAAUAUAUCCCUAGGAAGCAUAUCAGGUGGUUUUAUUUUUGAGACCAGCGGUAUGUAGCAGGAACUGAUAAUGUGAAACCUUCUCUGGAAAUGUUUUACUAAGUAGUCUACCUGUGUUGGUUUGGGAAGGUUUCUCUUGGGGGUAAAAUUUACAUAAGUUUCCUUUUACUUCCUGCUAGUUCUUUUUCUGUUCACUGCUUGUUUUGCACUGUUGUAAAUAACAGUCCAUGGUGCUGUUUUGUGACACUCCCUCAGACUCUCUCUCAGUUUUUACAUAGGAGGGUCAGAGUGGGCAGCACAGAGGUACACAUCACACAACCCUGUGGCUUCUGCUGAUGCUGGGAAGUAGACAGUUCAAAUAUUUCGUCACUAGCAGAAAUGUGACCCAAAAUGAUAAUUACAUUGUAAGAAAUACCUAUAUUUAUGUAACUAACUCAAGAGAGGGUGUUUUUUUGGUGAUAAUAGAAUGUGGAAGGUGACAUAUUUCAGUUGUUAUCCAGAUGCAGAUCCGUAUCUCCCCAGUAUUGUGCAGAGCUGGCAGGCCAGUAGGAGCCAGCAUUAGCAGAAGUCUUGUCUUCCUGCGUGGAUGGCUCCUUCCUUGUGGGUAGCUGCCUUCUCUGUCAGCUGCUGCAACAAAAGAAAUCAGAAUUAGGCCUUUGUAUAGGAUCAAGUGGUGGGGUACUAGUAGAGUCAUACCGGGUUUCUGAUGUUCACAUUUAUUCAAGAAUGGAUAUUUCUUUUUUGUCUGGUUUCAGCCUUUUUGGGGUAAUACAAGUUAGACCUGAGGUGAUAGUUUAGUAGGAUAAUAGCAUUCACAUGGGGAAAUUAUUGGUCAUAACUAUAUUGUUUAUAUAGUUUAUGAAAUAUGUACUUUUUAUUUUUAUGCUUACAAGUUUCCAAUGUCAACGAGAUGUUGGCUGGUGAAAUUUAUUUUUUUUUCCUGGCUCUUGACAGUUUAAGGACAAGUGGUUUUGUUUUCUCUCAUAUAAUUGGAAAAGUGGACAAGGUCAGGGAGUUUUAAUGGAGUGAAGGGAAUCUGGUGAGAGCCACUGUGUAACACAUGAGCUAUAUUUUCCUAUUAGUGUGGAAUUCUUUAAUGCUUCUCAGUUGUAUGCUUUCUUGAGAAAACUCUCAUUCAACAUAAACAUGUUUUUCCAAGACUUGGAAGUCCAUAUUAAAUAUUGCAGCCUGCAGCAGGGAGCCACUCCAUUAGCUCUCAAUGAGUGAAGCUUACGUGUAAUUCAUAGGACCAAGACUGGGAGUGAAAUUCCCUAUUUAGUCAAUAGGGAAAGUUAGGUAGCAUGAAUUACAUAGUGUCCUCUUCCUCCCACUCCCUAGUAAACUACCAUGAUUAAGUGCUGAGAGUAAAUCAUGUAACUCCCCCCAGUGCAAUUCAGCAAGGCCAUCAGUACUCAGUCCUAGGAUAGAAGCACUAGUGGGGAACAGGGUGGAGCAUAAGGAAAAGGUAAUAAGGAUUUGCCAGAUGGAAGGCUCAGAUGUGCUGAGAGGAGGAAGGGAUUGUAACACCCCUAGCAGAAAAAGAGGUUUGGUGAGGAUUUGGAUGACAGGAAGAAAAGCAAAGUUACAGUAUCUAUAGUCAUCCCUGACACUAAUUAUCACCCAUUUAUUUUCCACUGGUCAGUUAAACUGAAUUUAGGUUUCAUCUUAAAACUGUCAAGCAAAAUUUUGUGGGGAAUAUCAAGGCAACUUCUGUAGAAGGAUCCUCACAUUACAAACUCUUUCUUUCCCUUCUCUUCCCCUCCUAUUUCCCCUCUUCUACAAACUAGUUUUAUAUGACUCAAACCCUUUAAUCUACUACAAAGACCAGAGCAUUUUAAAUGCUUUUGUAUUGCAGUUCUGGUAUAUAUUCAGCCUGAUUUCAAUACGGUUAACUGUUUCACCUGCCUGAGACACUAUUUAUAAUCUUAGAUGUGAAUAUUAUCUGAUUCACUUACUCGUAAUGGUGAGAAAGCUGCUCCCUCUUCUCCACCCACAACCAGUGUACGGGUUUUGGAUUACAGCUACACCUGCCUCAGUAAAGUUGUAUUUGUAAACCUCUAGUGAAUGUAUCACACUGGCGGAAUAAUGUGUACAUAACAAAAUUUUCUUCUGGAAAAAAUAAAUCUCCCAAUAUCCCAUGUUUGUUUUGUUGUUAAAAUUGGUCCGCCUUGGAGUUCUUGCUCUGCUGGUUCAAGUGCAUGCGUUUCACUUGCUAUUUGAUGAUCCUGACUUGCUGUUAAUAGGCUAAUGUGGAUUGAAUCUAUUUGUUACCAGUUUAGCUAAGGAAUAGCUUGCUUUUGGUGUUUUUUCCUUCUAAGUAUGAGAUAACUUAAAAGAACGUCUGUGGAGGAGGAGUAAUUCCACACAGCAGCAAUAAAAUUGUGUGAUAUAAAACUGAGAGAAUUUGUUGACACUGGCACCAGCAUAUUCUGUGUGUUGCCACUGUGCAAAAAA